rnacentral:piRNA from 1 species
UAUAAUCAUAAUUUGUGCACC